UACGAAGGGGGCUAGCGUUGCUCGGAAUCACUGGGCGUAAAGGGUGCGUAGGCGGGUCUUUUAAGUCAGGGGUGAAAUCCUGGAGCUCAACUCCAGAACUGCCUUUGAUACUGAAGAUCUUGAGUUCGGGAGAGGUGAGUGGAACUGCGAGUGUAGAGGUGAAAUUCGUAGAUAUUCGGUGGAACACCAGUGGCGAAGGCGACUCGCUGGACUGAUACUGACGCUGAGGUGCGAAAGCGUGGGGAGCAAACAGG
rnacentral:rRNA from 1 species